GGCCCGCCCGGCGCUGUGGGCCCGCGAACGUCACCCCCCUUCCUGCACGGGCGGGACGGGGCGGGGCGGCCGCGGGCCCGGCCCUCUGCGGCAGCGGCAGGCGGAGCAUGGCGGGGCCGGUGGUGGCCCCUCCUCUCAAAAUCAAAGACGACAACCAGCAGAACACGAUCAGGAGUUUCUUGUGAGGAAAGCGUAGGACACCGAGAGCUCGUUCGAGCGCUCAGUCUGCUUAGGUCUACUGUUGUUGCACCAGCCGCCCGGCAGCUGUCGGGAAUCCGGAUUCCACGGGCCUUUCCCUCCUGAAACAUCAGGUGCCUUCCCCCGAGUAACUGCCCGAGAAACUGCAUGCAUAGGUUUGGAGGAAUUUGAAAAGCCUAAAUCUGAAAAUCUUCUCUUUUAUAAAUGACACAUAAACUACCCAUAAACAAGAAAAUACACCCAGGUGAUCCUUUAGACAUCCCCCAAGGCAAACUGAACACUAGUUGUGAUGUGAACAAGUUCACAAGAUAAUACUGUUAGAGUUGUUGGGGUCAAUCUGAAACUGUAACAAGUUGUGUUAUUUAAAUUGUUGUUAGAUGUUAUAUCUUUAAGUUACCCCUUCCUCUCUUACCCUGUAUUUGUAUCCCUUUCCAUUGUGAACAAGUUCUCAAGUUAAUACUGUUAGAGUUGUUUGUGUUAAUCCGAAACUGUAACCAGUUGUGUUAUUUAAAUUGUUGUUGAACCUUUAAGUUACCCCUUUCAGUCUUACCCUGUACUUGUAUCCUUUUCCUCUGUAUUUGUACCCCUUUCCAUCUUACCCCGGAGUUGUAUCCCUUUCUGUAGGGAACCACUUCCCCUGCUCCCAGAAGGACUUGCACCCAGGCUGAAUUUCAAUGAGUGGCUGAUGGUACUGUAUUAAACCUCUCAAAAACAACAAACCAGCACAUAAACUAUGAUUUUAACCCAGCAGAACCACACGAGAUGACCCACCAGUGAGCAGAGCCAGAUUCCGUCCUGCCACCAUAACUUAAAUAGCACCCAGCUUCGAUGAGACCCCUAAGCUACGAGCCAGCAUUGUCAUCAUGAGGACUCUCGUGAGGACCAAAGUCCUACCUCUGUCAAGAGACAAAGCUUCGCUCUUCCUCCUUCUCCUCAGCGUUGUCCUAUGGGAGCAGGAGUGGUGUGAGCAAACCCUCAGGUUCCCCACCCAGAGCUGUCUUUAAUAAAGGCCUUUUUAAAGGGCCUGGUCUCCCGUCCCCGCUUAUUUCAGUUGUGGUAACUUUGUCUUGCUUAGAGGCUUAGUUGUCCAAUUCUUCAGGAUUUUUCCAUCUGUCACUGUCAUUUUGUGCUGUCAGUAAACAUAAAUGUUCUGAGGUUUUGAAAAAAUUGUAAGUUUGGGUAAAAAUGUGAAGUUGAAAUGCUGCUAGUAUUAAAGAUUAUUACUUCUCAUCAGACUAAUGCCAUUUAAGUGAAUUUAUUAAGAAUUAAUAUUAAAGAAGCUUUUAAAAAACAGA